rnacentral:lncRNA from 1 species
AUGCAACACAUACCUGUGUACACACACCUGCAAUCACACACCUGUGCACGCAACACACACCUGCAUACACAUGCACUCACACCCACAUGUGCCCCACACCUGUGUACACACACAUGCACUCACACACGUGUGCAAGCAACACACACCUGCAUACACACAGCACACACCCGUGCAUGCAACACACACCUACAUACACACACGCACUUACACCCGUGUGUGCAACACACCUGUGUACACACGCACUCACACACAUUUGCAACACACCUGCACUCACACAUGUGCACGCAACACACCUGUAUACACACAUGCAUGCACACCCACGUGUGCCACACAUCUGCACACACAUGCACUCACACACGUGUGCAUGCAACACACACCUGCGUACACACAUGCACUCACACUCGCGUGUGCAACACCUACACUCACACGUGUGCAUGCAACACACCUGCAUACAAAUACAUGCACUCAUACCCGCGUGUGCAACACACACCUGCACUCACACACGUGUGCACACAACCCACACCUGCAUACACACACGUGUGCAUGCAACACACCUACGUGUACACACACAUGCACUCACACCCACAUGUGCAACACACCUGCGUACACACACAUGCACACACGUGUGCACGCAAAACACCUGCAUACACUUGCACUCACACCCACAUGUGCAACACACCUGCGUACACACAUGCACUCACACGUGUGCAUGCAAUGCACACCUGCGUACACACAUGCACUCACCCACGUGUGCAACACACCUGUGUACACACAUGCACACACGCGUGCAACACACCUGCACACACGCACUCACACCCACGUGUACAACACACCUGCAUACACACAUGCACUCACACACGUGUGCACGCAACACGCACUCAAACUCGCAUGUGCAACACACCUGUGUACACACGCACACACAUGCAACACACCAUGCACAUGCACUCACACACCUGCACACAACACACACCUGCGUACACACACAUGCACUCAUGUGUGCACCCAACACACAGGCAGGCUGAGCUGAAAGGGUCUCUUUCAAAAAUUGUCAUUUUCAUUGACCUUCCUGAUCUUCAAGACCCAUAUAGAGACAGGAAAUGCAGUCUUCUUGGUUGCCAUAUUCUAAUCAGAAAUUCAUUCAGUUUAGAAUCAUGA